CUACGGGUGGCAGCAGUGGGGAAUAUUGGACAAUGGGGGAAACCCUGAUCCAGCAAUGCCGCGUGUGUGAAGAAGGCCUGCGGGUUGUAAAGCACUUUCGGUUGGGAGGACUGCUUCUAGCACUAAUAUUGUUGGAAGUUGACGUUACGUUCAGAAGAAGCACCGGCUAACUCCGUGCCAGCAGCCGCGGUAAUACGGAGGGUGCAAGCGUUAAUCGGAAUUACUGGGCGUAAAGCGCGCGUAGGCGGCUAGAUCAGUCGGGUGUGAAAGCCCCGGGCUUAACCUGGGAACUGCAUCCGAUACUGUCUAGCUUGAGUACAGGAGAGGAGAGUGGAAUUCCACAUGUAGCGGUGAAAUGCGUAGAUAUGUGGAGGAACACCAAUGGCGAAGGCAGCUCUCUGGCCUGAUACUGACGCUGAGGUGCGAAAGCGUGGGUAGCAAACAGGAUUAGAUACCCCAGUAGUC
rnacentral:rRNA from 1 species